CCGCAUAGAGAAAUACAAUUUGCCAUAACUUCCAAACAGUAAACUUCCUCUUACUGUUGAUGUUAGUUCAUCACUAGUAGUUGAUUUGAUGUUGGAGAAUAAGAAGCCGAAUGCUUCCAACAAUGAAAUAAAAUAUCAGCAAUCCAUAUCAGAUAUUAACAAUAUAUCAUAGUGUUCAUACACUGUUAAACGAUAUUAGAUUUUAAACUUGUCACAUAUGGUUGAAAUAGUGUUAAAUUACUUGUUUUCUCAUAAGGGUAACACACUCACAUCUAUGCAUUUCAACAUAUAUAACUUAUGUUCAACAGCAUGGUAGAUGGUUCUAUGCAUUGGUGGUAGUCAGCACUUGCGUAUUUGCAAACUUUCAUCUAGGCGGCGGCGUGAUCGCGAUUGUUUUGUUCCACCUUUAGCAAAAAUAAAAAAAAUCAACAAAAAGAUUAACAAAGAUUUCUCAAUGAGUGAUUCGGAAUGCCACAAGAAACCACUUCCACCCGGCUACCGUCGUUUUCCGGCACGCCACAGUAAGAAAAGGUUCCAGUGAAACAUAACCCUCAACAUAAAUAAAGUUGCUCAACUCGGCUAACAAAGACCUUGAAGGAAAAAUGGAAUAACAACGGUGAUGCGUCAGCCUGGAGAAGAUCCACGGCGGUGGCCUCAAACGACUUCAAAGAAACGACCGUUUAUCCAGAAUCGGCCACGCAGGGAACAUCAUUACCCAACAGAACUCGGCCGCCCGAUUUUCCCAUCAUCACUAUGGCCACGACGAUGGUUCUGAGCAGCAACUUCGCCAAGCACGGCCACCAGCAGCAGCAACACCAAAUCAUGACCACUGGGGCCCGACGGGUGGAUGCAAGUGAACUCCGGCCGCUCCUUGUCGCGUACGAAAACUGCUAAAGCAGGAGCAGAUCCGUUCCGGAACCACCCAUCGAAAAUUCGUCAUCAAGUAUUCCCGGUCAUUGUGAACGCCUGGAAACAGUGGUCCCUCCAAAAGAAUGCCGAUUUGGUGGGCAGUUCCAGCGAAAGCCAUGCCGAGGAAAAACAAACUUCUUGCUGUGUGUCAAACAUUUUUAAAUUAUACUAUUUUUACAAACCGUAUAAGUAGUUCAUGCUUUUUUGUAAUUUUUGUAGUUUAAGUUGUAAUGCAUGAUGCAUUAUAGCUUGAUUUACUUGGUUGUUUCAAUAUGAGAAUACAAAAAUAAUACAAUAUAAUACAGCGUUGUCUUAAACAUACAGCACAAUAAACGAACAUUUUCAUUUAAUGUAACAGAUUUGUGCUACGUAUAUGGUUCAACAAUUUUACAACAAUAUGGUUUGCAAUAAUCGUUGCAAAAAAUGAACAACAUGACAACAACUUGGCUUAUUGUUUUGCGAAAAUUUUGUUCGACAAAAAAGCCGAUUUUUUAUUGUAACCUAACUUAACCGCCUAUUCGUCAUAUUGUGAAAAGGCCCAUUACAAUUUGGCAAGUGGUAUACUACAAUAUGCCAACACUACCAUUUGAAGUGAAGGAGGGUAUCAUGUCAUAUUGUUCAUAAAUAGUCGCAAGUGGUUCUGGACAGCAUGUGAAAUAAUAUGCUUUUUGUUCACAACUAUGCGG